GGAAUCGGGAGUGGCUCAGAGGACUCAGAAAGCUGGGAAAGUUACAAGAUUCCUCAAGGCUCCUUCCCAAGAUGAUAUUGCUGGGGUGGGGGAGGACCGGGUGGAGGCUGUAACAGCUGCUUUCAAGGUCAAGUCUGGAAUGUUCCAAGGAGUGAAGCAAGGCAUGGAGCACGAGACAGAGGCUGAAGAAGAGACAAAGUUUUCUGUGCAAGGCCAGAGGCAAGUAAAGGAGCCCUGGCUACAAUUUACAGGACCAGUAAUAUCUGGACCCCCGGUCUUCAUUCAGACUCUUAGACCAGGGCUUGAGCCUCAGCUUGGUGAACACAAGAUUGGAUUUAUUAAGAACCCCUGGCAACAAAUGGAUGCUCAAGAAGGUGACUGUCUAAGAAGUGAUGGUGCCACACGAAGUUGGCUAUUGCUAUUGUUCAUUGUAGCUGGGUACCAUUGUGUAGCUGGUUCACCAAAGCACGGUGACAUUCACAUGAGGUAGCAUGUGGAUUAUUUGCUCCCAUGGAAUGAAGGACAUAGUCAAUAAAUAACGAUUGAAGAACAAUUGAAGUCAACUUGGAGCACUGCAUAUGUCUGAUGAAACUGAGCACAUCUCCCAUAAAGGUUCAUUUUCUCACUCAAAACUUGAAGCUGACUGUAGAUCGUUGUCUAUGUGCAAGUGAGGGCUGGAACGAGUUAAGACGAGGACUGUGGUUGGGCAGUGAAAAGAUCAGGCGGGCACAGAGUUUUGAAGGAAGGAGAGAGGGGGAGGAGGAGAGGGGAAAGAACCAAGACGGAGGCAGAGAAGGACGACCCAAAUCCGUGUAGCAUUAAAUGGCCACAGGUAGUUAUGAAUAUUUCUUUUUUUUUUUUUUUAGUUCUUUUUUUCGGAGCUGGGGACUGAACCCAGGGCCUUGCGCUUCCUAGGCAAGCGCUCUACCACUGAGCUAAAUCCCCAACCCCAGUUAUGAAUAUUUCUUAAGGGCUGGAUUUUCAGAGGUCAAUUUAUCUUAUCUAGGUGGGUGGUUUAUAUCAUUAUCAACUGGCUCUGAGGUUUAUUGUGUGGACGUUUUGUGGAGUGUAAAUUUAUCGAGAUAAAUUACUGAGAUAAAUCUGACUGCUAAA